CCCUCCUACAAAGCCGUGUCCUUCGCUCCCCCUCUUUGGACAGGAAGAACUGGAGGCAGAGAAAUGAGGAUUUGGAGACAUCUGGGGCCGGCUUGCUCCCUGCAGGCUCAAACUGAACUGUCCCACAUGA
ensembl:snoRNA